ACUGAGGACCUGCUUAGCGUCAGCCCCGAGGCGGGGCUCCCCUCGGGUUGGUGCUGUCCUUUCCCCUGCGGCCUCUGCUCUGGCGGCAGUGCGAGGGCCGAGCUCCAGACACGUGCGGGAUGACUUGAAAGUAGGGCAUCCUUGGCCUUCCGGAAGAGAGUAAAUUCACGGCACGUGGACGGUCUGUAUGGCGUUCUCAGAUGCCUUUAUCUGAAUGAGAAAUGUGCCUCCAUCAGAAUCUCAGAUGUCUGACAGCCCUGUGUGACACCAGGAUAGGUAAUAUAUAUGCAAGCAGGGGAAGGACAGAUGAUCCAAAGUGGGCUCUGCACGGACAGCAGAGAGCUCAGCGCGGGGCUUGAACUCAUGAACUGCGAGAUCAUGACCUGAGCUGAAGUCAGACGCUUAACCGACUGAGCCACUCCAGCGCCCCUACCAUAUCCUUUUAAAAUAAAUUGGUAAAUUGAUAUUCAUGUAAAU